AACGAACGCUGGCGGCAUGCCUAACACAUGCAAGUCGAACGAGACCUUCGGGUCUAGUGGCGCACGGGUGCGUAACGCGUGGGAACCUGCCCUUAGGUUCGGAAUAACUCCCCGAAAGGGGUGCUAAUACCGGAUAAUGUCUUCGGACCAAAGAUUUAUCGCCUUUGGAUGGGCCCGCGUUGGAUUAGCUUGUUGGUAGGGUAAAAGCCUACCAAGGCGACGAUCCAUAGCUGGUCAGAGAGGAUGAUCAGCCACACUUGGACUGAGACACGGCCGAGACUCCUACGGGAUGGAGCAGUGGGGAAUAUUGGAAAAUGGGCGAAAUGCUGAUCCAGCAAUGCCGGGUGAGUGAUGAAGGUCUUAGAGUAGUAAAGCUCUUUUAACCGGGAUGAUAAUGACAGUACCGGGAGAAUAAGCUCCGGCUAACUCCGUG
rnacentral:rRNA from 1 species